rnacentral:rRNA from 1 species
UCAGACGAUGCGUCAUGCAUAUCAAUAAGCGGAGGAAAAGAAACUAACAAGGAUUCCCCUAGUAACGGCGAGUGAAGCGGGAAGAGCUCAAAUUUGAAAUCUUAAAGGGUUUCCCUUUACGAAUUGUAGUUUAAAGAAGUGUUUUCUGUUGAGGUUUUGGUAAAAGUUCUUUGGAAUAGGACAUCAUAGAGGGUGAGAAUCCCGUAUUUGACCUUUACUUUCAACUUUGUGAUACACUUUCAAAGAGUCGGAUUGUUUGGGAAUGCAGUCCAAAAUGGGUGGUAAAUUUCAUCUAAAGCUAAAUAUUGGCGAGAGACCGAUAGCGAACAAGUACCGUGAGGGAAAGAUGAAAAGAACUUUGAAAAGAGAGUUAAACAGUACGUGAAAUUGUCAAAAGGGAAGCGUUUGACACCAGUGUUGUUUUUCUGAAAAUCAAUUAAAGAACUGUUUAUGCUAAGUUGUUUAGACUUUAUCAGCUAACUGUUUAGUUUUGAGCUUUUCUUUAAUGCACUUUUCAGUUAACAAGUCAACAUCAAUUUCUUUUGUUGUAAAAAAGCUUGAGGAAGGUGGCUUGAGAUUCGUCUUAAGUGUUUAUAGCCUCUUGCCUAUGCAGUCGGAGAGAUUGAGGUCUGCAGCGUAGAUCCUUCGGGGCUAAAUGCAUUUGUGCUAAGUUAUAACAUUUUAUAGACAACUUGUUGACUAUGAUUUGUCUUGUAGCUUACUCGCUUAUGUUAUUUUACCUACGCUUAGGAUGUUGAAUCUGUGCGAGACUAC